UUUUAGAAGCAAUCAUAUUAAAUAUAUAAAUCUUAAGUUCCCAAAAAUACUCAAAAUAUGAUUAAAAACUCUAAAUCCUUAUAUAUCCUUAUGAAAUAUUAUUUUAGAACUUCAAUAACUCAUAUCUCUCAUUUGGACCAUUCAAACAUAUUCAAAUUUUACAUAAAGCACUAAUGUACUUUUAAAAACUACUAUAAAAAAUUUCAACUACAAAUUUGUUGCGGAUCUUAAGAUAUUAUCAAAAUCCUAAUAAUAGCUUCAAAUCCUAGUUUUUAUAUAUCUGUGUAUAAUUUUCUUCAUAUCUCACGAACUAAGUAUAUAAAUGCCACGAAAUUUUUAUAUAUAGUUUCUUAACAAAAUAGUAUAUCUUUUUCAAAAGAUUUGAAUUAAAAAUUUGUCCAAAAACUCAAGAUAUGGCUCCAACCAUUACUAUAAACUAAAUCACUUACUUACUACUUUUGAUUUGAAUGUACUAACUUUAGCUCUCUAUAACUUCUUCAUUUAAAUUAUAAAUAUAAUAAUUCUUUUUUAAUUAAUAUAAAUCAUAAAAUUUCUAUUUUAGUAGCAUCUUUUAAUCUCUAGUAACUAUUAUAACACUCCUUGUAUGCUCAAAAGAGCGACAAUAUGUCUUAAAAUGAUACCUUUACUUCAAAUGACUAUAACUUCUUUAUCCUAAAUCCAAACUCAUUAGUUUUUGUAUCUAAAUUGUAAUUCAAAUCCUAAACCUUACAACUCCAAAUUUUGAUUCUCGAAUGCUUUUUUGAAGCUAUCAAAAACUCUUCUUAUGGUUGU
rnacentral:lncRNA from 1 species